AUGGCUCAGGAUGAACGCUAGCUACAGGCUAACACAUGCAAGUCGAGGGGUAGCAGGGUAGCAAUACCGCUGACGACCGGCGCACGGGUGAGUAACACGUAUCCAACCUCCCAUAACUCAGGGAUAGCCUUUCGAAAGAAAGAUUAAUACCUGAUAGUACUUUUUCAAGGCAUCUUGAAAAAGCUAAAGAUUUAUUGGUUAUGGAUGGGGAUGCGUUCCAUUAGAUAGUUGGUGAGGUAACGGCUCACCAAGUCUUCGAUGGAUAGGGGUUCUGAGAGGAAGGUCCCCCACAUUGGUACUGAGACACGGACCAAACUCCUACGGGAGGCAGCAGCGAGGAAUAUUGGUCAAUGGGCGAGAGCCUGAACCAGCCAAGUAGCGUGAAAGGAUGAAGGUCCUAUGGAUUGUAAACUUCUUUUAUAGUAGAAUAAAGUGAGCCACGUGUGGUUUUUUGUAUGUAUACUAUGAAUAAGGAUCGGCUAACUCCGUGCCAGCCGCCGC
rnacentral:rRNA from 1 species